AUGUGCAUGCUAGAGAUGAAACAUUUUCAUUCAAUUGUUCCCAAUGAGGAGAGUGUAUGCCUAGAGAAAAAGUGAUGCACCUUUUUUUAAUUUUAUACAUAGCCAUCCAACUUCUUUUUUUGUGGCCGCUACUCUGGGCUAAAAGUAUUCCGGCACCGUGCCGGAUGUCCGUCGUGCGGCCAUGAGAACCAAAAAAUUGGGAACUUGCAUGCGGUUUAAUAUUUGAGUCAAUUGAUUUUCCCUACAAUCAUAUGAGAGGAACGCAACUAUAACUAACGUUACACGCCUAUGGAAAGAAGAGCGGGUGGUUGUGCACAUUUAUUGCGGAACAUUACUUGUCAUUCACAAUUUCUUAGCCACUGGUCACCCUGUGUAGAAAACUAGCGGAAGACAAAAAAGCGUUCUCCCCCCCCCCCUCAAAAAAAGUUCCAGCUCAGGAUUUGUUUUCACUUUAACCCCUGCACUACUUGGAAAUCUGGGAACUUUUCAGAAAGGCGCUGGUGUCAUCACUCAAGCUUUCUCUCAGCUAGAUAGCCACUGAAGUCAGAGAGUUUAAAACAUCCUUUAUAAUCUGU